UAAUACAGAGGGUGCGAGCGUUAAUCGGAAUUACUGGGCGUAAAGCGUGCGUAGACGGUUAUUUAAGUCGGGUGUGAAAGCCCCGGGCUCAACCUGGGAAUUGCAUUCGAGACUGAAUAGCUAGGGUACGGUAGAGGGAAGCGGAAUUUCCGGUGUAGCGGUGAAAUGCGUAGAUAUCGGAAGGAACACCAAUGGCGAAGGCAGCUUCCUGGCCCAAUACUGACGCUCAGGUGCGAAAGCGUGGGGAUCAAACAGGAUUAGAUACCCUGGUAGUCCACGCUGUAAACGAUGAGAACUAGAUGUUGGGAGGGUUUUGCCUCUCAGUGUCGCAGCUAACGCGCUAAGUUCUCCGCCUGGGGAGUACGGCCGCAAGGUUG
rnacentral:rRNA from 1 species